GCCCGCCGACUCCCCUCUGGACCCCGCCCUCCCCUUGGACGGCGGCUUCACCUCCACCUCCUCCUUCACUCAGCAGGACGUCAACGAUGGUGGUGUGUGGUACCGGCACCAUGGGACGGACAGCUCCCAGGACUCUUUCCAGUUCAAGGUUUCUUCAGAAGCGACUCCUCAGUUUCAGAGCGACCCGCAGACCUUCACCAUCGGCGUCCUGCCCCAGCUGCCUGGCUUCCCUCAGCUCUCCCCGGACUGCGAUCUGCAGAUCACGGCUCUGGAGGACCGAGUCACCGAGAUCCCUGCGUCAGCGCUGUCUUUUGUCGACUCGGAAACUCCCAGUGACAAACUCAUCUACAACGUCACCAAACCUCUGCCUCCGGGACACGGAGUCUUGGAGCACCGCGACAGACCGUACUCCCCCGUGGCCCAGUUCUCUCAGGCCGAUGUCGACAACAGAAAGAUCAUCUACAGACCUCCACCUGCCCCGACGCACCUGCAGGAGCUGUACACCUACUCCUUCACUGGUGAGACGCAGUGUUUAGG
rnacentral:lncRNA from 1 species